UUCUCAGGGCCUUCUGCCAAGGGCCCUCUUUGAUCUCCCUUAAAGGACAGCAUUAUCUGACCAGAGACCCAUGCAGGAGACCUCUCCAGGUACACAUAUUUCCUGCUACUGAAUGGCUUAGACUGGGAUUUGCGAGGAACUACGAAGUCCAAGACCUUUGCCUUUCUUUUAGAAGAAGUCACCAGCUGGUUCUCCAGUGUUGAAGGUCUUCUCCAUAGAUGUGCAUGCAGAAGGAGUGAAAAAACAAGAAGGAAGACAAGGAAGACAUUGUUUUAGCUGCUGACAUUUCCUGAAAAAUCUGAGGAGUCCCCUUCACUUCGGGCAUGGGACCCAGACGGCUGAGUGAUGGACCUUAAGGUGUGGGGAGAUUACAACUUGCUCAAGAUCUCAUAGCUAGAAGAUGUCAGAGUGAUAACUCAAACCAUGUCACGUGACCCUAAGCCCAAAGACGCCUCUAGAAGGUUGUUUGAUCUUCUGAAGGAAGCACAGAUCACCAUUCCAACAUGAAAGAUGGAGAAACUUAAGUCCAGAGAGAUUUAAAGGACUUGUCAAAGGCAAUGAAACAAGUGAUGAGGAAACUGAGGCCCAGAGAGGAUAAAUGACUUGCUCAAGGUUAGCCAGUUGGUCAAUGGCAAAGAUUAAACCAGAACCCAGAUC
rnacentral:lncRNA from 1 species